UGGGGAAUAUUGGGCAAUGGGCGAAAGCCUGACCCAGCGACGCCGCGUGGGUGAUGAAGGCCUUCGGGUUGUAAAGCCCUGUCAUGCGGAAAGAACAGUUCUGUAGUUAAUACCUGCAGAAUUUGACGGUACCGCAGGAGGAAGCACCGGCUAACUCCGUGCCAGCAGCCGCGGUAAUACGGAGGGUGCAAGCGUUGUUCGGAAUUAUUGGGCGUAAAGGACGCGUAGGCGGUAAUGAAAGUCAGAUGUGAAAUACUUCGGCUCAACUGAAGAACUGCAUCUGAAACUUCAUAACUAGAGUACAGAAGAGGGAAACGGAAUUCCCGGUGUAGAGGUGAAAUUCGUAGAUAUCGGGAGGAACACCAGUGGCGAAGGCGGUUUCCUGGUCUGAUACUGACGCUGAGGCGUGAAAGUGUGGGGAGCAAACA
rnacentral:rRNA from 1 species